CGGUGGAGCAUGUGGUUUAAUUCGACGCAACGCGCAGAACCUUACCUGGGCUGGAAAGUGUUCGGAAGUCUUGUGAAAACAAUUCCCGGCCGAUACAGGUGUGACGAGCGCAACCUCUAUCGUUAGUUGCUACCGAGACGUCAAGUCUCAUGGCCCUUAUGUCCAGGCUACAUACAUGGUGCAUACAAGCGCAGCAAGCUAGCAAUAGUAAGCCUCGCAAAAAGUGCACCUCAGUACAGAUUGCACUGCAACUCGAGUGCAUGAAGUCGGAAUCGCUAGUAAUCGUGAUCGGCAGGCAGCGGUGAAUACGUUCCCGGGCCUUGUACACACCGCCGUCACACCAUGGGAGUUGAUUGCUCCAGAAGUGGCUACGCAAACCCGCAAGGGAAGCAGGUCCCCAAGAGUGGUCGAUGACUGGGGUGAAGUCGUACAAGGU
rnacentral:rRNA from 1 species